rnacentral:rRNA from 1 species
AGCAACCUGAGCUCAGUCGUGAUUACCCGCCGAACUUAAGCAUAUCAUUCAGCGGAGG